UUAAGGUCUUAUGAUGCAUUGUUAAGGUCUUGUGAUGCAAUUGGUGUUAAUGGUGCUUGAGAACCUAUAAGCUAUGAUGAUUGACAUUGUUUUUCUGGUUUGUAAGCCUCUAGCAGCUAUUGUAAUUGAUGAUUGACUAUGCACAAUAUUGACAGAAGUUUCUCUUGGCAUCUAUAAAAAUUGAAAAAGACAUACAUCAUUUAAAAUACACAAUAUGCUGCAAUUGAUGAUUGGCCAUGUACAAUAUUGACAGAAGUUUCUCCUGGCAUUUAUAAAAAUUGGAAAAAACAUACAUCAAUAAAAAUACACAAUAUGUUGCAUUGUUAACUUAAUAAGUAAAUCAUUAUAACAAUAUUAUACCCUUGCAUUUAUACUUCCAUUUGUUUCAAAAACAAAUAGUCCAAAUCCUUUUCUG
rnacentral:misc_RNA from 1 species